CCUGAUUUCUGUCUUUAAAGACAAUACUUGCUUGAAAGAUAUUUCCAUCUGGGAUCCCACCACUACAAUGGGUUUAGACGUGAUGACCCACGUGCAACUUUUUUUCCUUCUUUGCUCGUCUUUGUCAACCGCUGCCCCUGUUUCAAAGAGCCUCGUGGUUUCGGUCAGGUCGCCUGUCUUAGAGCAACUUGGUAGAGAAACCACACUACCAUGCUGGCUCAAUCCACCACAGAGUGCCAAGGCUCUGGAGGUACAGUGGUUCCGAAAUGAUCGCUUCAAACCCAAGUCCUACUGUAUUACAAUAAAAAGAUGUACGAGGUCCAGGAUGAUUCGUACGAGGGUCGAGCCUCGUUUGGCCUGAAGGACGCAGCGUCCGGUGGGCUGGCAGCAGGAGACGUGAGCCUGAAGCUGCUAAAUGUUGGGAUUGAGGACGAGGGAGAUUACACUUGUUAUGUGAGCAGUGGUCAGGGUUAUGACCGUGGAAGUGUCAGUCUCAAUUUGACAGAACUACAACAACCACUGAAGAAGAAACAGGUGAUACAUCACCUUUACCAGGAUUGAAAAACGUAAAGACUUCCCCUUGGAACGUAGCAGUGACAGAUCCAAUGACAGAUUCAUCUUCCACAUCAUAAAAGGAAAGCUCUCCGCCGUCAUAAUUCAGAUACACACC